AGAAAACCAGGCAUAUAUAAUACUUUUAUAUUCCACUAACCAUAUAUUAUAUGAUUAUAUAUUUUUAAUUUUUGUGUUUUUGUUGAAUUUAUGCUAUUUUGCAUUGGUGUCCUUGUCUUCAAUUUCCCCCCUUUAAGACUUGCAUGUGUAGGCUGAAGGUAAAGACACAGAAGAGUGCAGGGGGAAUUCAUGAUCAGUACCCCUCUUUUGUUGACUAGCUGUAUAUUUUAAUAUAUAUAUAUCUAGUGCUGAUUCUGAUGAUAGAUAAUUAUUUUUUUAGGUUUCUUAUACUAAGUAACUGAUUAUCAUGACACUGUCAUAACAUGAGGUGCCAGGACAGGCAGGAGAUGUGAGAAGUAGCAGUUUUAAAAUUUUAUCGCGGGAAAUGUUAAUUUCAAUAGUAUUUUAUCUUUUGGUAAGUUUUAGAUAGUCUUAUAUAUAAAAUAAUUAGAAUUUUGAAUGUAUAUACAUGAGGGUUUGGAUGGGGUUAAAUGAUUAAAGAAAAAUGCCCUUAAAAAAUGAAGAUUAGAGAAUAACGGGCAAAAAAAAAUGAAAAUUAUAAGAGAAAAAAGGGGUUAAUUUUUUGAAGAUUAGAGAAAAAAAGGGGUUAAUUUUUUAAAGAUUAGAGAAAAAAAAGGGUGAAAAUUAAAUGUUUACAGAAUAACAGACCCCCCCCCCCCCAAAUCCAGACCCUCAUACAUACAUACAUGUACAUAUAGAACAUAAUUUUUUUUUUCAAAAAUAGGACAAGUGAAUUCAUGUUUAAAGUGUAAAUUAAGUUUCUAGUUUAAAAAAAUAACAUUUAAUGAAAAAACUAAGGUCAUAUAUAUAAAUGUAAAAUACUGCAAUCUUUUAAAACAGAUAAAAUAAUGUCAAAUGGCAAUUUUACACCAUGAAAUAUAGUCCUCAUUAAAACUGAUUAUUUCUGUAAUAUGCUAGAAAUAUAGGUAGGGUCAAAUAACUCUACUUUUGUACUUGAAUGUCGGUUUGAUAGUAAACUAAUGUGCAAUUUUAUAUGACUGUAAAUGAGAAAUCAGCUAAUUUUGAUUAUUUUUGUCAAAAUAGUCAAUAUUUAGAGAGUGUGUUCGGAGUUCCAAAAAAACAUAUUCUAAGUAUGAAAAUAAACAGUUUUUCUAAGACUUGCUGAUCUUACUCUUUCAUUCAUAUAAUAUUACAUUCAAUUUUGGCAAAAAUGACAAACUAUAGCAAAUUUAUAGCAACUCACCAAAAUUUGAUUAUAGCAUACCAAAAUUUUGUCAUAUUGUAAAUUAGUUCAAUACACUGUUUCAUAAGGUUUUCAUCAUCAUGUAAAUAUUGAAAUCUGUCACUAAUCAUGUGUAUUCUUCAAAUAUCUAUAAAUUUGUGAUUUUUCUUUUCUUGAUUUGAAGUUGGAGAGAAUUGGAGAUUUGAGCCACUAUAAACAUACAUGUAUAAUAUCACUGUACUAGUGUAUACAUGUUUUUUAAGGGGCCAGCUGGACACUGCCUCCUGGUGCGGGAGUUUCUCGCUACAUUGAAGACCCAUUGGUGGCCUUCAGCUGUUGUCUGCUCUAUGGUCUGGUUGUUGUCGCUUUGACACAUUCCCCAUUUCCUUUCUUAAUUUUAUGUAUAAAAUAUAUCUCUGCAUAUCUGAAGCCCCAGACUAGUAAAUUUCUUUUGGACUAGUAAGUUUUUGCAAAACUUUGUUUGAACCAAUAAGAAAAAUGUCAGAAUAUUGGUCUUUGGACUAGUAGUUGAGAAAAGAUUUUGGUGCAGACUGUAUAUAUAUAUAUCACAUUUCCUUUAUCAAAAGUUUUUUUCAAGCAGAAAAAAAAAAUGGGUUGAAGAAAAAUUAUUGAAAGCUACAUUUGUCAAAAUUAAAUAUUUGCGGAAAAUUUGCUCUUUUUAGUGGCCUCCUCUCAUGCUUGUUUCUAGCUAUAAAUUGCACUUAUCAAAGACUUAGACAGACGCAUGUUUUAUUUUACUAAACAUAUAAAUAUAUAUAUUAUAUCAGAUUUUGAAUUAUUUCUUCUAGAAUGGUGUUUUUCUAUGCAUUCUACAAACUAGUUUUCUUUAAACAAAGCUCUAAAAUACCUUGUGAAAUAUAAUUUUAGCUUUUAAAUUACAUUCUGUAGUACAUUGUAGUUGCAAAGGGAGAUAAGAUCAAUAUGUAAUAGCUUCAAAGAUAUGAAAAAAUAUAUAUGUUAUAUUUUACUAGAUUUUUGCACAUGAUCUCCUGAUAUGUUCUGAAUUUGAUCAUAGGUAUUUUUUUUUAUUGUUCAUGUAUCAUUAUGAAUUGGUUUUUUUUCUUAUUUUUGUAUGAACUAUUCUGAUCAUUCAUAAAGUCAAAUAGACAAUACCAAACUUUGAUAAAAAAAUGAUAUGCAAUGCAGUACAUAUACUAUAAAUCUAUUAAUUAAUGAUUUUUUCUUCUAGAAUGGACAUAUAUGGAACUGUAACACAGAGAAGCUGACUUGAAAGAAAUAUACUUAGUAUUUUGUGUGCUGAUAGAGAAUGACAGUCACAGACUUUUAUAAAUGUUGUAAUUCAAACAAUUAUCAUACACACAGG
rnacentral:lncRNA from 1 species